CCUACGGGAGGCUGCAGUGAGGAAUAUUGGUCAAUGGCCGUAAGGCUGAACCAGCCAAGUCGCGUGAGGGAAGACUGCCCUAUGGGUUGUAAACCUCUUUUAUGCGGGGAUAAAGGUGUCCACGUGUGGAUGUUUGCAGGUACCGCAUGAAUAAGGACCGGCUAAUUCCGUGCCAGCAGCCGCGGUAAUACGGAAGGUCCGGGCGUUAUCCGGAUUUAUUGGGUUUAAAGGGAGCGUAGGCCGGUCUUUAAGCGUGCCGGGAAAUUUUGUGGCUUAACCAUGAGAGUGCGGCGCGAACUGGAGACCUUGAGUGCGCGGAAGGUAGGCGGAAUUCGUGGUGUAGCGGUGAAAUGCUUAGAUAUCAAGAAGAACCCCGAUUGCGAAGGCAGCCUGCCGCAGCGUUACUGACGCUGAAGCUCGAAAGCGCGGGUAUCGAACAGGAUUAGAUACCCCAGUAGUC
rnacentral:rRNA from 1 species